rnacentral:rRNA from 1 species
GACGAACGCUGGCGGCGUGCCUAAUACAUGCAAGUCGAACGCAGUGGGGACGGGUGAGUACCACGUGGGUAACCUCCCAUCAGAGGGGAUAACCCUUGGAAACAGGUGCUAAACCGAUACUGAUGGAUGGACGCGCGGUGGAUUAGCUAGUUGGUGAGGUAACGGCGUACCAAGGCCACGAUGGAUAGCGGGCUUGAGAGGGUGAUCGGCCACACUGGGACGGAGACACGGGCCAGACUCCUACGGGAGGCAUCAGGUGGGAAUUUUCGGAAAUGGGCGAAAGUCUGACCGAGCACUGCCGGGUGGGUGAAGAAGGUCUUCGGAUCGUAAAACUCUGUUCUUCGAGAAGCGGUAUCUAACAAAAAAGCCACGGCUAACUACGUGCCAGCAGCCGCGGUAAUUC